rnacentral:rRNA from 1 species
AGAGUUUGAUCAUGGCUCAGGACGAACGCUGACGGUGUGCUUUAGGCAUGCAAGUCGAACGAGAAAGCCCUUCGGGGUGAGUAGAGUGGCGAACGGGUGAGUAACACGUGGGCAACCUGCCCCUCGCAGGGGGAUAACCGGAGGAAACUCCGGCUAAUACCCCGUAAGCUUUCAGGGUCGCAUGGCCCUGCAAGGAAAGGUAGCUUCGGCCAUCCGGCGAGGGAUGGGCCCGCGGUGCCUUAGCUAGUUGGUGGGAUAACGGCCCACCAAGGCGACGAUGCGUAGCUGGUCUGAGAGGAUGAUCAGCCACACUGGGACUGAGACACGGCCCAGACUCCUACGGGAGGCAGCAGUCGGGAAUUUUGCUCAAUGGGGGAAACCCUGAAGCAGCAACGCCGCGUGAGGGAUGAAGGCCUUCGGGUCGUAAACCUCUUUUGCCGAGGACGAUGAUGACGGUACUCGGUGAAUAAGCCACGGCUAACUACGUGCCAGCAGCGGCGGUAAUUC